ACACGACUUGACACAAUACUUUGCGGAAAACACGACGCCCGACUGGCCAGCACCAAUCACCUGGGAAGUUCAGAAAUACAGGGUACGGGGAUUCUUCUUAGCCAGGGGUGCUGUACUGAAGAAAAGUCUACAAUUAGGGACCUCACGGACAAAAUCCAGUACUUCGAAACCAGACCUAAAACAGCCCAUACUCUGGACACAUACGAAGAACUGUCUGCUUUGAAGGGGCAAUUAUCCUCUCUCCUCCAACACUCACACCAACAC